AUGAGUUCCUUCGCCGUGGUUUCCGACAAUGGCGACGAGGACGCCUGCGUGGGGGAGAACUCCGUCGUGGUCCCCGUCAAGAGCGAGGAGGACGCCCGCAAGGGCGAGGCCUCCGUCGUGGUCUCCGGCGAGGGCGAGGGCACCUGCAAGGGUAAGGCCUCCGUCAUGGUCUCCGGCAAGGGCAAGGACGCCGUCAAGCCCUCAUGUACGGCGCAGUAUCCCUGCGUCAAGCGGCUUCGUGAGCGGCGCCUCCUCUCCUUCCUCCUGGACCAAGGCUUCGACGGCGCCUUCAGAGAGCUGAAUCGCGAGACGGGGGUGCUGUUCAACGUGGAGCACAUCCGGCGGCUGGUGAGGCGGGGACAAUGGGAUGACGCCCUCAUGUACCUCAACACCUUCCUGCCGCCGUUCAUCAGUGAACGUCGGAGCUUCCGCGCCAGGAUCUUCAACAACUUCCUCCUCAUGCACCACCGCUUCGCCAACGUCGUCGCCGGCAACAAGGACAUGCACCUGGACAAGCAGUACGCCGACGGCCGCAGCAGCUCCACCCGCGCCGAGCGCAGGUUCCGCUCCAUGAACUACUCCAUACUCGCCCCGGAUUCGGGCCACCUCAGGGCCGCCAUCGACUGGGACAAGGUGAGGAGCCACGCAGCGUGUCUUAUCCCCGAGUUGGCUCACCGUACUCCGGAGCUGAAACGCCGGACGGUGUUGCCGUCCCGCUGCAUGAUGCCGCACGAUGUACUCCCCAUUGGGACCGGUUUGUUCCUGAGGCGUCGGGUGAAGAAACAAGGCCCCCAGCCGCCAAAAACAGACGCUAUCAUCACUGCCAUAAAACACCAGCGGUAUUGCCGCCUCGUUAGGGAUUCGAGCAUUGGAUCGAAAGAUGAAGCACUGGAACUGCUGGUCAAUUACCUAGAUCAGACUUUGCAGGCUGGUCUACCUAGAGGUUGCACACUAAGCUAUGACUUUCAACCAAGUGGGAAGGAAGUUGAACUUGCUGCGGAUGCUUCUGAUGCUCCGUCAGAGCAAACCAUGCUUGGCACAUCCACAGAUAAUGUUAAAGUCCAUGCCACAUCGUUAGUGAAAAUUUCUGGUGCUCCAAUCUGCCAGAUCAUUUCUGGUACCUUGAAAGUUCAUGCUGAAAACCCUGGGAUCUCAACACCGACAAAUGCAGGCACAAAGCGUUUAAUACAAGAAGGUUAUCAUACUCAUAAUCAAAUGGAUGGACUGCCAACCGUUGAGGAUGAUAUUGAGGCAAAGAGGCAACGAACGACUGGGACAUUUGGUGAAAAAAGUUCGGUGCCGGCGUUUGGAGGCCGAGCAUCCACCGAUGCCAACACACUGGUGAACUUCAGGCCGAAGCUGAGGCCCGUCUGCUCCAUGUGA
rnacentral:rRNA from 1 species